rnacentral:lncRNA from 1 species
UUGGAAAAUGUUUUGGAGUUGUGAAUUGUUUCUCCUCUUUUUCUUCUAGAGUUAAACAAAUCCAAGUGCCUUUGUUGUGGUGUGGAGAAAAGUGUCACAAUUUUAUAUUUGUCUUACCUUCCCAACUCUCUCUGGAGGUGCUUUGCAAAUAAUUGAGUCCAAACAGAAGUACCAAAUGAUCUGUGAACUCUAUGCUUAGUAAAUCUAUUAAACCUGAAUAACUUAAAAAUUAAUGUGCAUUUUUUAUAGAAAAUUUGAUUUUAAUUUAGAAUUGUGUCUUUUAGUGUAAUUUUCUUAGGGACUUCUAAUUUUUCU